ACCAAUGAUCACUUAUUAGUUCUAUUCAUUGUCUUUUAUCGUGAUUUUCAAUUUUUCGUUUGCAAUUUUUUUUUUUUUUUUUUAUAUAUAUUUUCUUGUGUUACUUAACUGAAUUAUUUCUUUUCUUUGCAGGAAAAUUGGUUAUUUCCACCCUUGAAGUUGAUUGCAGAAUUUUAGCUUGGGGGUCAUCGCUUGAUUUUACUGCAAACUAGGGAAGUUUUCAGUCCCAUUGUUUUAUUUUGCUUCUUAUUAUUUAUUUAUUUUAUUUUUAUUUGCAGUAUAGUAUUUUCUGACAUUGGGGACAAUGUCCAAUUUAAGUUUGGGGAUAAAGAGUAUAAAAAAUGACCAAAUUGAAAUUUUUUUUUUUUGUACCUUCAACUACUAACGAGUUUCAUUUGUUUCCAUGUUGUUGCUUUUUGUUUUCUUAAUUAGUUUUGUUUUCUUUAAAAAAAAAUAAAUAAAUAAAAAAAAAAAAUCGGAAAAUUUAAAAAUCCAAAAAUAUUGUCUUGUUUCCCUU
rnacentral:lncRNA from 1 species